GAUGAACGCUAGCGGCAGGCUUAAUACAUGCAAGUCGAGGGGCAGCAUGAUUGUAGCAAUACAAUUGAUGGCGACCGGCAAACGGGUGCGGAACACGUACGCAACCUUCCUACAGGCGGGGAAUAGCCCAGAGAAAUUUGGAUUAAUACCCCAUAAGAUUUUGAGAUGGCAUCAUCUUAUUAUUAAAGAUUUAUCACCUUAAGAUGGGCGUGCGGCUGAUUAGGUAGUUGGCGGGGUAACGGCCCACCAAGCCUACGAUCAGUAGCUGAUGUGAGAGCAUGAUCAGCCACACGGGCACUGAGACACGGGCCCGACUCCUGCGGGAGGCAGCAGUAAGGAAUAUUGGUCAAUGGACGCAAGUCUGAACCAGCCAUGCCGCGUGGAGGAUGAAGGUCCUCUGGAUUGUAAACUUCUUUUAUCUGGGACGAAAAAAGGGUUUUCUAACUCGUCUGACGGUACCAGAUGAAUAAGCACCGGCUAACUCCGUGCCAGCAGCCGCAGUAACAC
rnacentral:rRNA from 1 species